AGGGUCCGGCUGUUCGCCGGUUAAAGCGGUACGUGAGCUGGGUUUAGAACGUCGCGAGACAGUUCGGUCUCUAUCUGCCAUGGGCGUAGGAGAUUUGAGUGGGGCUGACCUUAGUACGAGAGGACCGGGUUGGACGGACCUCUAGUGUACCGGUUGUCGCGCCAGCGGCAGCGCCGGGUAGCUACGUCCGGAAGGGAGAAACGCUGAAGGCAUCUAAGCGUGAAACCCUCCACAAGAUGAGAUCUCCCUGGAUCGCAAGAUCCCUAAAGGCUCCUGGAAGAUGACCAGGUACAUAGGUCGGGUGUGGAAGCGUGGCGACACGUUCAGCUUACCGAUACUAAUCAGCCGUGAGGCUUGACCAUAAAU
rnacentral:rRNA from 1 species